ACUAUUUCGAAGACGAUUUCGACGACUCCGACAUCAACUAAUCUGACCCUCCUUGUACCUGCUUACCGUGUCCUGGCUUUUUAUAGCUUUUGAACAUUGGAGAGUAGAGAGGGAAAGAAACACAACUUAUUUUUCUCGUGUCCAGCUUUAACUAUUAAUUAAAUAUAUCUAAUUGAUUAUUAUUAUUAUUGAUUGCUGAUAAACUAUAAUGUAUGAAAUUGUGUUUGAUUGCUGUACAAGGUUUAGCAAAAAACUGGGAUUUUUUGGCGGUUUAUGAUGAUUCGGUGCAAUGACUGGAGAAGGCAGGUUGUGAAGAAAUUACUUUCUUGCAAUUAUCUUCCUUUGAUUUUUUGAUUCUGGAGACUUGAAACAAUAUUUGUGUUUGAUGCAUGUUUUAGCUCAGGCGUGUUGAACCUGAAGGCCUUUUGUUGCAAACACGAGUUUUCAUUUAAUUCUGUUUUCUGGUCUGUAAAUUAACACUGGUUUUUGGUUAAAUGUGAUAAAAGAUAGAUGUGUUUCUUUGGUGUCAUAAUACUUUCAUCUGCCACAUACUGUGCUCAAGUUUGAAGUGCUCCCGAAGUUUUAUUUUUUACCACUGUGGUGCUGCUAAGGGCAUUUACAAAGACCUUUAUGAAGACUUUGACAAUUCCUUGCAUUUUUAAGUUCACCCAGCAUGGCUUUUCAUUUGGAAAAACAAGUGGAUUUGGUGCUUGAUAUGGUUAAAUCUUCGUUGUUGCCCAGAAAUAUACAAUGAAACCAGGCUAAGCUUUUCAAUAUCUACAUCAAUAAUAAGCUUAAAUCACUUUUGUUCUUCUAUUUGGAGUGAUGAAUAUGAAGGUUCGAGGAGUGUGUCUGUGGCUUUUGUGGAACUAGGAUUAUUUGGUGUCUUGAUGGCAUGCUGUUGAGUUUACUAGGAAUCUUUUUCUGGUGCUUUGUAAUGGGCAUGCAGAUGCAUGGUAGUACUUGGAAAUUUUAGAAAAUUUUCUUUUUUAUGGUAGUCAUAACCUCAAGAUUUAUUAAAGAUGUUUCUGAGUUGUUCCAUGUGAUUUGCCAGGAUAUCUGACGUGUGAGGGAUUGAGCAGUUCAUCAGAAAUAUAACUCGGACGGUAAUAUGUUCAACGUUUUGAAUGCCAGCGGCGGGAGGGCUAGCUGAUGAGCUUUGUGCCAUGAAGCAAGUCUUGUAGUAAUUGGACUGGGUAUUUAACUAUUGAUUGUUCGAGGCUUAGUUGAAGUUUAUUUGGCCCUCUUCUCGUCCGCAACUCUCUGAGGUGUAAUGCUUUGAUUUGUGCCAUAGCUUAAAAUUAUUUCAGACAACAUUUUUUCCUCUUCUUUUAUACAAAACAAAGACGAUUUAUGAUGACCGAAGCCCUCUUCAAAUCCGUUGUUUCCUUAGAGAACCCAUCAUUCUUGGAAUUAGAAUUAUAGAAAACUAUAUUGUCAAGUCUUUUUGUCAAGUGGAGAGCCCAGAAUUGUAAUUGUCCUUGAGGUGCACAAGCUAGACCUCCAACGGGCAUGACUUCAGCAUGUAGGAGCAGAAUUUGUCCACGAAAAACCAGUAUACAUCUUUCUGGACGUAUCCUACAAGUAUUCAGCACUAGACAGAUUCUGGUAAUCAAUAAUGCAAACUGCAUUUGCCACGGCGAGACUAACUUUAAGGUCCAUUAGAGCC
rnacentral:lncRNA from 1 species